rnacentral:rRNA from 1 species
UACGUAGGGUGCAAGCGUUGUCCGGAAUUAUUGGGCGUAAAGAGCUCGUAGGCGGUUUGUCGCGUCGGCUGUGAAAUCUCGGGGCUCAACCCCGAGCCUGCAGUCGAUACGGGCAGACUAGAGUGCUGUAGGGGAGACUGGAAUUCCUGGUGUAGCGGUGAAAUGCGCAGAUAUCAGGAGGAACACCGAUGGCGAAGGCAGCCCCCUGGGUCGACACUGACGCUCAUGCACGAAAGCGUGGGGAGCAAACAGG